AUGGAAAGCAUAGGAGAUGAAAUGAUCAAGAGAUGAAUUCGUUUGGGAAUUUUGGAUUGGUCACAUGAGACUUGGGUCUUGAUGCCUAUAUAUUAAGCUUGGAAAGAUGAAAGGAGUUGCUUGAUUCUAAUGGAAGAGAUGCAUCGAAAGGAAUGAAAGCUGGAAAGCUUUCGCUAUGGAUGAUGGGUUAUAUUUCUCUUUCGACUGGGGAGGAUGGAGGAUGGCUUUUGAGCAGGGGGGAAAGGAAAUUGGCUGAAUUGGUUGUAGCAAAGAAAAUGAGGAGAUUU
rnacentral:lncRNA from 1 species